GCUCUGCACUGAUUGGACCAGGUGAGUGAAGGUCACAUGACACGCGACCUGCUUCAGGCUCAAAGGAGGCGAUCGGGUCUGAUAAGAAUUGAUCAUUGAUCCCCUGACUGUGCGGCCAGUUACAUCUCUGUCUGACUUCAUCCUGACCUGCCGUGAUAUAAAUGACUCGCACAGUAUUGGCCCAUGGGGUUCAGUAUCUUGUCCAAGGACACUUCAACAUGCAGACAUGAGGAGCUGGGGUCCGAACCACCAACCUUGUGGUUAGUGGGUGACCCGCUCUACCUCCUGAGCCACAAUCACCAUCUGAUGUCACGCUGACAUCAUCUACGAUGACUGCAUGAGAUAGACCCCGUGAAAGUCACAUGAUGUGUCAGGUGUGGCCGGCUGAGCAGCUGACCGUCGACACUCAACGCGGUAACGACGAUGGACAUAUGCGUUAAAUGAAGGCGCGUACGAUGUGCAAAGUCAGUUAAGAUUGGUGGCAGGACAAGCCUUGUCCGAAGUUUUGUGAUGUGACAAAAAACACAGAAGAAGAACAAAUGGCGUACAUAUAUUGAUGCAACAUGUCAUCCAGAAUCGAGCAGGAACAAAUCUGAGAUCAUGUCUGCAUGAAGCAUCUGAACCUUUAAAACUUAAGUGAAACACCUGAACAACAUGAAAACAGGUACAUCUCUCACCUGGUCGGCCAGGGUGUCGAGGGGCGGAGCUUCAGCAGCGUUAAGGCUUCCCGGGGAGGAAGUGUUGCUAAGGGGAUGAGGGGAGGAGUCAGACUGGAUAAUGAUGUCAGCACCAUGGUCGGUUCGAGCUUUGGCGUGCUCUCUGAAGGUCAGUUUCUGACUUU